GGGAUGGAGACUAUUCUGCAAUUACUCGUAGGACUAUUGGGGCUACAAGUAGCCUGGGUCAGUAGCCAAGAAGUGGAGCAGAGUCCUCGGUCAUUGACCAUCCAAGAGGGAGAGGCUCUCACCAUAAACUGCAAUUCAUCAAAAAUUUUUUAUGGCUUUCACUGGUACUGGCAGAAGUAUGGUGAAGGUCUCAUUUUCUUGAUGAAGCUACAGAAAGGCGGAGAAGAGAAAAGUCAUAAAAAAAUAACUUUCAAGUUGGAUGAGAAAAAGCAACAAAGUUCCCUGCAUAUCACAGCUGCCCAGCCCAGUCACUCAGGCAUCUACUUCUGUGCAGUAGAUGCACAGUGA